CAGCAGCCGCGGGAACACGUAGGGGGCAAGCGUUAUCCGGAAUAACUGGGCGUAAAGGGUGCGCAGGUGGUUUAACAAGUUAGUGGUGAAAGGCAUAGGCUCAACCAAUGUAAGCCAUUAAAACUGUUUAACUUGAGUGCAGGAGAGGAAAGUGGAAUUCCUAGUGUAGCGGUGAAAUGCGUAGAUAUUAGGAGGAAUACCAGUGGCGAAGGCGACUCUCUGGUCUGUAACUGACGCUGAGGAGCGAAAGCGUGGGGAGCGAACAGGAUUAGAUACCCCUGUAGUCCCUGUCUCUUAUACA
rnacentral:rRNA from 1 species